rnacentral:rRNA from 1 species
UACGAAGGGGGCUAGCGUUGUUCGGAAUUACUGGGCGUAAAGGGCGCGUAGGCUGUGCUGUAAGUCAGGCGUGAAAGCCCCGGGCUCAACCUGGGAAUUGCGCUUGAUACUGCGGCGCUGGAAGGUGGGAGAGGAUGGCGGAAUUCCCAGUGUAGAGGUGAAAUUCGUAGAUAUUGGGAAGAACACCAGUGGCGAAGGCGGCUCACUGGCCCGAUACUGACGCUGAGGCACGAAAGCGUGGGGAGCAAACAGG